rnacentral:lncRNA from 1 species
AGGUAAAAAGUUUUUUUUAAUGUAUAUAUAAAACGCGCUAAUAUAUAUUUAACGACUAGUAGUAUCGCAUUUUGAUAACAUUAUUGAAUGCGCAGAAUACACUGAUAAUUAAUCGACAAUGCUAUUAGUAUUUUAUUUAGGAACGUAUAUUAAUAUAAAAAUACCUAUCGGAUACCUAAAUGAUGCUAAAGAUAAAAAAUUUUAAAUACCGAACAAUUCGAAUCAUACAACGAUUUAUUGAUAGAUAAUAUUGGAUAGUUAUAACAACAAUAAUAAUACUUAUAAAUGUGUAUAUAUAUACACAUAAGAUAUAUACUAUAUUUACUCCUUGUAGAUAGAUAUAUCAAUUGUUAGAUUUGCAUGAAGACUUAACAAAACGAAAGGGCCAUUGUCCACGAUUGGUUUUGAUUGGAGAUAGUCAGGUAUGUAACUUGAGGGAAAAAGGAAACGAUCGUCCAGCUGGAACUCGGAUGCACUCGUGCAAGACGAUUCACAACAAAGAAUAAAGAAAACUAGACGCACCUGUUGCAGCGCUAGAUUCUCCCUUAUUUCUCAAAUUCAUUGAUAAUCUCGAUGGCAAAGCUGGAGGUAAUGGACGACCUUUCGAGGGCGCGACGCUCCGCCCCCACCGGAUAAUUCGAGAAACAAUGGCAGCCGGAGACAUGCAGAGGCACGGCGACACGGUUUCAGUGCAAACACGAAGAUUGACAGCGAAUACUAGAUUCGAAUGUCGCUGCACGUUGCCAUGACGAAAACGGAACAUUGCAGGUUAAAGAGGCGAAGGGAAAGGCAGGUCAAAGCAGCGACGCACUGGCCAGGUGCGCAGACAUUCCACUCGCCUUGCGGUACGCUCACCCCUCUUUCCCCGGCCGCGAUUAUUUUCUACCUGGAGCGCCACGUUUAUUUCUUCAUGGCGGAUCGAACGAUAUAUUCGAUACAUCGAACCGAUCCGAAACGAUAGUAUUGUGUGUAUGAAUGAAUUCUCCACGAAGAAGAUUCGAAGAGGUAGUAGGAUGGUGAUCGAAAGAAACAAAAAUGGCGGCACUUCUGAGUUAUAAGGAGCCUCUAUAAAUGAUCACAGUUUACAUUGAAUUGAAGGAGAAUGAAGGAAACCUAACAAGCAACAGGUUGGCACGAUCUCCGUAUGGGGUGGGGAAAUGAGAGAAUAAGAAGAGCUAUGUAAGUACUUAUAGACAGAGAAGCAGAAAACGGGAAAGCAAUCAUCGUUGGAUUUGGUAGGAAUAUCCGUAGAAACGAAAUGCUUAGCACUACGUAAGAACAACGAUAUCGUGACAAGGAGACCGGAUUGGUCGGUCACCUGUUGCCCGCUAGCUGUGAUUGGUCGGACUCGACAGCGCGUAACGACAGCCAGAGGAAGACAAGUGCAUUGUCGGUUGGUUUAUGAUGGACCAAGAUCAAAAAUAAAUACUACAAGAAUGUUAAUUUCGUAUUUUUGUUAUAUAUAUUUAUAUACAUAUAUAUUAUUUGUUUUUCUUUGCGAACAAAUUAACCAUAUUGAGAUUACAAAAUAGAUAUAUGUUUAUUCGCAUAAAUUUUUGUUAUAGAAUCCUUGUGUUAUAGAAUAGUAAGCAAAUUCCGAUUAUUAUUUUAAUGAAUUAUUUACAAUGAAUUAAAGCUGUUUUUUAUAACAUAAA